rnacentral:sRNA from 1 species
ACAUCGAGGCAUAUUCCA